UUAAUCCUAUAUCAACUUUCUUUUUUUUGGCGUUCUUUACAGAUUCAUGUGUAUGGGUUUUUUUUUAAUUUUAAGUCAGGUGUGUUGUAUGUUUGUGAUGUAUGUGUACACAAUUUUAGUCGCUGGAUCCGAUCGCGAAUUAUUGUUAACGUUGACCAAUCAUGGCUGUCUGUCAAUUAUUUAUUCGUAGAUGAUUACAAAGGAAAACAAAAUUAUAUACAGAUGCAUAAAAUAUAAUUAAAAUAAAAGGCAUGUUUGGAAUGGGAUUAUGGCGGACGAAGUACAAUUUCAAGGAAAAUUCUCCAAGUGAUUAAAACGGUUUCUUUGCAGCACUGUACAUAAAUUAAGAAUGACGUUUUUUAACCAAAAUAAUGCUUACCCUUUCCUUUUUUAUUACGUUUUGUGUACCGUUGUUUGCCUUUUUAUCCUUUUUCUUUUUUUUUUCCAUGACAUUGUUAGUUCGUUUUCGACUUUUUAGUUAAAUUAUUUCCUUGGUAUACCUAGUCUUUCUUAAAGUUUUGUUAUCGAUAUUUUGUGCUAAAAUACGUCAGAGAUGGGAUUCAUGACAAGACCAAUGUGAACACUUCUCGUAUACGAAAAUGCAAAAUCUCUUAAAGCAGUUAGGGACAGAUAUUUUGAGGAAAAAUUAGAAUUUUAUGUUAUUUAAAGAUCUUUGUUCUAGAUAAAAAUAUUAUUUUAUUUAAAUAUAAAAACCAAUAAACCCCAAAUUUUAAAUAGGACCAUUGAGAUACAAUUAUGAUAAAAUAAAUGAUAGAAAAGAGUGAAGGCGAAUUUCAAUAUCUGCAUACUAGUUUUUUUAGAAAACAGUAUGAAAUUAUACCUUGAUUAUAAUUGACAUGUAUA
rnacentral:lncRNA from 1 species